rnacentral:rRNA from 1 species
UACGGAGGGUGCGAGCGUUAAUCGGAAUUACUGGGCGUAAAGCGCGCGUAGGUGGUGAGAUGAGUCUGAUGUGAAAGCCCUGGGCUUAACCUGGGAACGGCAUUGGAUACUGUCUCGCUAGAGUGUGGUAGAGGGGAGUGGAAUUUCCGGUGUAGCAGUGAAAUGCGUAGAGAUCGGAAGGAACACCAGUGGCGAAGGCGGCUCUCUGGACCAACACUGACGCUGAGGUGCGAAAGCGUGGGGAGCAAACAGG